GUGGUGGUUGUCUGCUGGUUCUGAGUGUGGGAGGAUGGGAGGAUGGGGGUUAGGUGGUGGUUGUCUGCUGGUUCUGAGUGAGGGAGGAUGGAUGGUAGGUGGUGGUUGUCUGCUGGUUCUGAGUGUGGGAGUAUGGAGGAUGGGGGUUAGGUGGUGGUUGUCUGCUGGUUCUGUGUGGGAGGAUGGGAGAAUGGGGGUAGGUGGUGGUUGUCUGCUGGUUCUGAGUGUGGGAGUAUGGAGGAUGGGGGUAGGUGGUGGUUGUCUGCUGGUUCUGAGUGUAG
rnacentral:lncRNA from 1 species